GCGCCGUUGACCAUGCAGCCGAUGGUGCCGUCGAGCGCGAUAUAGGCGAGGUCAUACUUCGACGCCUCGAUUUCCUUGGCGUCUUCUUCCGUGGUGUCGCGCAGCGCGACGAUGUCCGGAUGACGAUAAAGCGAAUUGGAAUCGAACGACAUCUUGGCGUCGAGGCACUUCAGCUCGCCCUGCUUGGAGACGAUCAGUGGAUUGAUCUCCAGCAUCUCCAUGUCCUUGGCGAGGAACGCCGUAUAGAGCUGCGCCACCAGCUUUUCCGCCUGCUUGGCGAGAUCGCCCUUGAGGCCGAGCGCCUGCGCCACGGUGCGGCCGUGAUGGCCCAUGAUGCCGGGGGCGG
rnacentral:misc_RNA from 1 species